GUCAGUUUAAUGUUCGACUAAUGUCACAAUGCCUAGUAUUUUGGGAUAGAUAUUUUAUUGCAAAUACAGUUUUGCUCACAUUAGGAUUGCAAGUUAAUAUGUAGAUGAAACCUGAAAGUUAUUUUAGAAGAACAUUUUAGAAGCUAGCUCAAGGAAGUUCGUUGAUAUAUGAAGCAUUGAAUCGUUUUAACGAGAUAUUAUUUAUGAAAGCAACUGUUUCACAAUAUAUGAGGAAAGGGAUUUAGGAGUGAUUAUUUCUGAUGACUU